rnacentral:lncRNA from 1 species
AACUCACCCAGCGCAUCCGACUGCACGUAAGUGCGCACCAGAACCCCCGCGUCGUCUUAGGGCCACCGCCUUAGUAUAGGCACAAGUCGGAGGGUCGAAAGGUCCCUUCUAGCUCAGGAAAAUCGAGGUCAGGAGGCGGGGAUAUUCGCCCCGAUUCAGACCCCGAACAAAGGUGCUUACCCUGCUGUGGGCUGGGCCCGCGACUUCUCGCUUGCUUUGCCUCUUUUCUGGAUCUUUUCAUAGAAGAAAAGGAUAAAUGAGCAGUUAAAAUAGCCACCCAAAGGAGGACGCCUGACAGUGUGCCCAGCCUGCUGGGAAAGGACAGACCGCCCUCUAUUGGGCCUCCUUUGGCCGGGCCCAGCCUUCGUAGGAUGCAGGGACUUCCGGGUGAUGUAAUAGGCUUCGCGUUCGCCACGUGUGGACUUCCCGUACCCUGAGGUGGGGAGGCUGCUAGUGGAGCAGGCUUGCCGGGAAGCCCAGUACUCCCAUUUCAAGCAUGAUCAGUUUGAAACGUCAGUAAGACCACAAAGCGUAGUGCCAUAUACUCAACCUAUGAUUCAACAUUGGCAGAGGGUUCGAGCGUGGAUAUAUAAAUUUGGGAGUUAUUACUGUAAACUGUUACUUCAAGUCAUGAUAUUGGGUGAGGCUAUGAAAAGAAUGAGCGUAGAUGGAUAAGUGACGGGAAAGAGGGGAACCCUGGCCCAACCCAGCAUUAACUGGUUGCAGACAGGAGAGUUUAUAAAGUCUUGUUAGGAAUUUUAACAAUCCUAGACUAUGCAAAGAUUAUAUUAUGCGAAGUCUUAGGAGUCCCCAUCAGUAACUUUUUUUUUUUCUUUUCAUGACUAUGAAAGUGAGAGAAUAAAGUCCAGCUUUCAAUGGUUUGACGAUAUAUAUGGUUAAGGAAAUAGAAAGGUGUGCAGAAAGUACUCUCCAAGAGAUUUAAUUUUGAGAUUGAAAAUAGUCAAGGAAUGGAGAUGGAGUCAAUUUCCUACACGAUGCGGUACUUUUGGAGAAAUAUUUUUGGCUAAAUUAGUGUGCAAGGAACACUGUUAUUCAUCACUGGCAAUAGUAAUUUUUGAAAAUUGAUAAAGACAUCAUUCUCUUUUUCACAUAUUUGUGACUCUUAAAUUUUUUUUUUUUUUUUUUUUUUUUGAGAUGGAGUUUCACUCUUGUUGCCCAGGCUGGAGAGCAGUGGCACAGUCUCCACUCACUGCAACCUCCGCCUCCCGGGUUCAAGCGAUUCUCCUGCCUCAGCCUCCUGAGUAGCUGGGAUUACAGGUGUGCGCCACCACGCCUGGCUAAUUUUAUAUUUUUAGUAGAGACAGGGUUCUUCCAUGUUGUUCAGGCUGGUCUCAAACUCCCGACCUCAGGUGAUCCACCCACCUCGGCCUCCCAAAGUGCUAGGAUUACAGACGUGAGCCACCCCCUCUGGCCAGACUCUUAUAAUUAAAUUUAAAUGGUUUUUUCAGAGGCAUAUGAACCAGAGCAACUCUAUCUUAAAUAGGAGCUGGGUAAAAUGAAGCUAAAACCUACUAGGCUGCAUUCCCAGACAGUUAAGGCAUUCUGAGUCACAGGAUGAGAUAGGAGGUCAGCACAAAAUACGGAUCAUAAAGACCUUGCUGAUAAAACAGGUUGCAGUAAAGGAGCUGGCCAAAACCACCAAAACCAAAAUGGUGACAAGAGUGACCUCUGGUCUUCCUCACUGCUACACUCCCAUCAGUGCCACGACAGUUUACAAAUGCCAUGGCAAUGUCAGGGAGUUACCCUAUGUGGUCUGAAAAGGGGAGGCAUGAACAAUCCACCCCUUGUUUAGCAAGUCACUAAGAAAUAACCAUAAACAUGGGCACCCAGCAACCCUUGGGGCUGCUCUGUCUAUGGAGUAGCCAUUCUUUAUUCCUUUACUUUCUUAAUAAACUUGCUUUCACUUGCACUGUGGACUCGCCCUGAAUUAUUUCUUGUGCGAGAUCCAAGAACCCUCUCUUGGGAUAUGGAUUGGGACCCCUUUCCUGUAACACAUUCCUGGCCACUACAGAAGAGACUAUACUGCAGGAACCCGUGACCCAAAGGCUAACUUUGGGUAAGUGGUGGGGUCGGGUAACACUUUUCUCGCAAACCACAAAAGGGACAAUGCUGAGGAGACCCCCCUGACUCAAAGGAAAUAGACUGCAGCACUGAUUGGAUGACUUUGGGUAAGUGGUGGGGUACCCAGGUAAAGAAUGGGAUUGGGAUAGACGCUCAAGUUAGGGGAGUUAGAGUCUCUCCUAAGGCAGAGUGGAUUAGAGGCCCCUCUUAAUAAAAGGCAAGGACGCUUGACUGACCUUGGGUUAGAGGCCCAACUUAGGAGGAUUAGAGUCCCUUCUAAGAUUUAGGGGGUUAGAGACCCCUCUCAGUAAAGUCCCUCUUGGCUAAGAAGAGGUUUGGCACCGUGGGAUGUUAACUGCUAUUGUCUUUGGAUUAAUCUGCCUUGCACUCUUUGCUGAUGGCUCCGGGCGACAGGGUUAGGCGUGUACAGGAUCGUGGGACAUGGGGAGCUUUUUCCUCCCCCAAAAGGGGAAACUUGAGAGCUGACGGGACUGCUGGAAAAAAAUCCCUUCACGACAGCAGCCGUAGCCGCCUGAACUUUUCAGUGUCACUGCAAUGGGUGGGUCUUUCUCUGGCCUCCCUGAUCAUUUUGCCUUCCCUGGGAAAGUAUUGCUUGUGGAAAAUAUUUCCUGGGAAAGUAUUGCCUGCGAAAGCAUUUCCAUAUAUAAUUUUUUUUUUUUUUUUGAGACGGAGUCUCGCUCUGUCGCCCAGGCUGGAGUGCAGUGGCGCUAUCUCUGCUCACUGCAAGCUCCACCUCCCGGGUUCAGGCCAUUCUCCUGCCUCAGCCUCCCGAGUAGCUGGGACUACAGGCGCUUGCAACCAUGCCCGGCUAAUUUUUUGUAUUUUUAGUAGAGACGGGGUUUCACCAUCUUAGCCAGGAUGGUCUCGAUCUCCUGACCUUGUGAUCUGCCCGCCUCGGCCUCCUGAAGUGCUGGGAUUACAGGCGUGAGCCACUGCGCCCGGCCCCUUUCUUAUCUUUUCUAUUACUCUAUUACUCAGGGCGACCAUCUUGCCCAGAGACCACAUGUUGAAACUCCAAGUCAGAGGUUGGAUUAAAGAUGACAGGGCCUAUCUGGGGGCAAAUUUAAGCCUUGCCAGUUUAAUAUUGGGUGCUAAGCAGAGUGGCUAAUGUGUAUGUUUCAUCACAUGUGUUUUGCUCUGGUCAGAAUGAAAAAAAGUAGUUUUCCUUUACAAUGAGGCUUGGCCCCCAGGGCGAUGGUGCCACAAGCCAGAUCACUGGGACCACUCAGAGAAAGGGAACACAGAAGCCUGGCAUGCCAGCAAAAAGGUAAGAAUUUGUUACCAGUCAGAUUUCUGACUUCUCCCUCUCUGUGCAAACGGUUGAAUGAAUGGUAAAAAUAAUAACAAUAAUAAAAAUAAUAAAUCAGUGUGUAUCUCCUCUGUAAAGUUUUGAUUAAUAUGAAAAAGAAUUCUAAGCUAGUCAAACUGGUGUAUUUUGUGCUGUGAAUUUGUUUUUCUGUAGGAUGAAACAUGGGCUUAGAACACCUGUGAGCCCACUUUUCAACAUGACCCAGCAAACUGCUAAAAUUGUCAGAAAAUAAAAAGUUUAAAACAAAAAAAGCAAGGAGAGACUUCUGGCGUGACAGCAUAAGGAGCUCUGUGGGCCUAUUCCCCAACAAAACUGUUGAAAAUUAUUAAAAACAAAAAUGAAAACAAAAAAAGUCGUGUCUCUGGAGAUAGUCCUAAGGAUAUACAUCAAAUGAAAAAAUAUUUAUUCAAGAGAAUCUGUCCUUCUGUAAGAACUGCGAGAGUCUGUGGUAUUUGAACCAAGACUAUCUCUUUCCUUCAGCCCUCCCAGUUCAAUGAUAUGGAAACUGUACUCUACAGUGUUGCAGACAAGAACACAGGGCUCUCCCUCUCAGCUUCCAUACAGAGGGCUGUCUUCCCAGCAGGGUAGGAUGUCAGCAUUUCUUAUCUUGCCACCAGAAACUUGCUGAGGCUAAAUCCCUAGUGAGUGCAGCCCCAGAGGCAGGAGCUCCCUUCCUCCACCCAUCCAGUGUUGGUGAGAUGAAGGCCCUUCCUUGGGCAUCAUGAUGCUGAGCACUGGGGAUUCAUCACACUUGCCCCACUGAAAGUCUGUAGUAGUGUACCAUGACAGGGCAGCUGAAAAGACAUGAGACCACUGGCCACCCGCUACCACUGAGCACUCAACCCUCAAAGCAGGAUGUCAGAAGUGGGCCAUUGUUCCCACUCCCAGCUUUAGAACCCAGAUCCAGAGAUACUGCCUGAGGGGACAAGCAGAGAGCCUGGAAAGAAACAUGUGGAGGUACGCCAACCUGAGGUAGAACAAAUAUCAAACAGUUUGGGAACCCAAACAGCCUGAUUUUUUUUUUUUUUUUUUUUGAGACGGAGUUUUGCUCUGUCACCCAGGCUGGAGUGCAAUGGCGUGAUCUCGGCUCACUGCAACCUCUGCCUCCUAGGUUCAAGCUAUUCUCCUGCCUCAUCCCAAGUAGCUGGGAUUACAUUUUUGUAGUUUUUAGUAGAGACAGGGUUUCACCAUGUUGGCCAGGCUGGUCUCGAACUCCUGACCUCAUGUGAUCCACCCGCCUUGGCCUCCCAAAGUGCUGGGACUACAGGUGUGAGCCACCGUGUUCGGUCAAGCCUGAUAAAAAGCUUUGGAGCAAUUUAUGCCUCUGGGUAUUGUUGAAAGUGGUGUCAUUCUGUACUCUCUUCUCAAACCACAUCAGUGGUCUAUAGUGGAAGAAUCAAGAAUACCAGGCUCUCUGGUUAUGAAGGUAAUAUAUGGGUUCCAACCCUAAAAUUCAUCUGGAAUCUGCUGCUUCCUCUUCAUCUCAAGUCUCACUUCAUAGGGAAUCCUUUCAUAACUAGUGUUUGCUCCAGUCAGCUUCUCCUUUCAUUCCUUCUCCCUUCAUUCCUUUCAUUCCUUCUCCUUUCAUUCCUUGUAGCUUCUCCUUUCAUUCCCUGUAGAAUCUGUCUUGUUCUCAUGGAGUCAGGAGCAGAAAUACAUCUCAGGGCCAAAACCAUGACUUUCAGUCUUGAACUGGAAGUUUCCCCUGAAGCCAUAGGCUGGUUGCUGAGAGAAGAGAAAGGGAAAUGGCCUUAACAGCCAGGGGUGACCCCGCAGUCCUACAGUAACAGUCCUACAGUGGUGCCAGGAGACCAUGGGGAUUUCACAGCAUUAUUAUAAAAUCCACUCAACAUUCACUCUACAAAUACUUCUUAGAGAAGCUGAGGGAAGGCACUUUGCAAGAUGAUGUAAAAGAUACAGUGUUGAGCCAGUGCCACCUGGAUUGUAGACAUGUGGUCCAGGUAAUGAGUCUCAGCUUGUAUCAACCAUUCCCUUCUCAUAGAGGCCUCUCCAGAUCUCUUACUCUUUUUUUUUUCUUUUGAGAUGGGGUCUUCCUCUGUAACCCAGGCUGCAGUACUGUAGCAGGGUCAUAGCUCACUGCAGCCUCCACCUCCCAGGCUCAUGUGAUCCUCUCACCUCAGCCUCCUGAGUAACUGGGAUCACAAGCCCACACCAACACACCCAACUAAUUUUUUUUUUAUUUUUUGUAGAGAUGGGGUCUCACUGUGUUGCCCAGCUCCUCUCAAAACUCCUGGGCUCAAGUGCGGAUCUCUUAAUCUAAAGUAGCUCCUCCGGCCAGGUGUGGGGUCCUGUAAUCCCAACACUUGGAGAAGCCGAGGUAGGAGGAACACUUGAGCCCAGGAGUUCAAGACCAGCCUGGGCAACAUAGUGAGACCCCGUCUCUGUGAAAAAUUUAAAAAUUAGCCAGGCGUGGUGGUGGGUACCUAUAGUCCUGGCUACUCGGGAGGCUGAGGGAGGAGGAUCACUUGAGCCACGGCGGUUUAGGCUGCAGUGAGCCAUGAUUGUGCCACUGCAUUCCAGCCCGGGCAACAGAGUGAGAGAACCUGUUUGUUUAAAAAAUAAUAACAAUAAUAAAAAUUUUAAAGUAGUCCCUCACCCCAAUAUUACUCUGCUCUAUUUUUCUUUAGGACAUUCAUAACCAUUUGAAAAUAUAUUUUUAUAUAUUUACUAACUUUUAAUUAAUUAACUCAACAAGUACUUGACUAUCUUGUGAUAGGCUCUGCUCUAAACAGUGGAGAUACAGAGCUGGGCCUGGUGGGUUUGUUCCUGUAGUCCUAGCUACUCAGGACACUGAAACAGGAGGAUCGCUUGAGACCAGGAGUUUGAGACCAGCCUGGGCUAUCUAGCGAAACCCUGUUUCUAAACAAAAAAACAAAAAGUCACAAUGGAGACACAUACAUACCACACACACACACACACACACACACACACAAAAUAAUAAUAAUCCAAAACUCCUAAACAAUAUAGAAGGUUAGGAGUGUUGCGGAGAUAAGACAAACUAGAGCAGAUUAAGAAUCAGUGAGAGUGGGAUAAAGCCAGUUGUGCAAUACAGAGUGGUUGGGACAGGUCUAAUAGGACAGUUAGGCCGGGCGUGGUGGCUCAUGCCUGUAAUCCCAGCACUUUGGGAGGCUGAGGCAGGCAGAUCAUGAGGUCGGGAGAUCGAGACCAUCCUGGCUAACAUGGUGAAACCCCGUCUCUACUAAAAAUACAAAAAAUUAGCUGGCCGUGGUGGUGGGCCCCUGUAGUCCCAGCUACUAGGGAGGCUGAGGCAGGAGAAUCAUUUGAACCCGGGAGGCAGAGGUUGCAGUGAGCCGAGAUCACGCCACUGCUCUCCAGCCUGGGCGACAGAGCAAGACUUCGUCUCAAAAGAAAAAAAAAAAGUGAUGUUUUAGCAUGGACUUGGAGGAAUUAAAGACUCAUCAAGUGGAGAUCUCAGGAAACAGUGUUAUCACUCAGAGAAAACACACAGGACAAUGGAACUGACAGAGCAUCCUGGGUGUUUGUGGAACACCAAGAAGCCUAGUGCGGCUGGAACUGAAUGUGCAUGGAAGUUGGAGAGAUAGAUGGAAACAAAUUGUGUAGUCUUUUAUGCCAGCGUAGAGAGGUUGUAAUAUGUUCCUGUGUGUUCAAAAAUGUACCUGGGGUUUUUUGCAGUAUGGUCUGAUAAGAAACUCGGACAUGCAAAUGAUUGCCAGGAAGGAAGAACUUUCAACUCACGGAGUUUUAGAAACAGUAGGCAAAACACAUCCUGCAGGGCUAUGUGAGAAGCACCAGGGUGGUAUAAGAAGCAGAAGCAGAGGAGAAAGCAGAGGCCAGAUCCUUUAUUGUUUUCCACAGGAAAAGAAAGGCAGGGCUGGGUAACCAGAAGAGGAUUUGCUGGUUUGAAUAAAGUUGGUAGACUUUGGGGUCUAGGAGCUGUCCCUGUCUGCCUAGUACCUGGCCCUGGAGUCAUUAGAGCAAAAAAAAAAAAAAAAAAAAAAAAUUGUCUCCUGUAGUGUAAGAGCCAGACAGAGGAGAUGAUUCACAUUAGGGUACUCUGGAUUUGUUAGUAUGCAAAUAAAAGGCAUGGUUCAGAGUGAGUCAUUUGCAAUCUCUAAGAAUCAGUUAACUCUAAAUGGCAAGGUCCCAAAUUCCAUAGCAUCAACAAUGCAGAAAAUAAGAAAAUAUAGCUAAUACACUGUGAAAUGGGUAGCCAUCAUGGGGUUUUGAGCAGAGCUGUGAUGUUAUCUGAUUUAUGUUUUUGUUUGUUUUUUGAGACGGAGUCUUGCCCUGUCGCCAGGCUGGAGUGUGAUGGCGUGAUCUCGGCUCACUGCAACCUUCUCCUCCUGAGUUCAAGCGAUUCUCCCACCUCAGCCUCUGGAGUAGCUGGGAUUAGAGGCAUGUGCCACCAUGCCCGGGUAAUUUUUUGUAUUUUUAGUAGAGACAGGGUUUCACCGUGUUAGCCAGGAUGGUCUCGAUCUCCUGACCUCGUGAUCCACCCGCCUCAGCCUCCCAAAGUGCUGGGAUUACAGGCGUGAGCCACUGUGCCUGGACUGAUUUAUGUUUUAAAAGGAUCACUCUGGGUAGUCUAUGGAAAUUGGAAUAUGGGAGGGGCAAGAGGGAGAAGUCCUGUUAGGGAGCUCUGGCUCUUUCCAGAUGUGCAAGGUGGAGGAUAACUUAAGCCAAUGUAGUGAGAGGGGAGGUGGUUUACCACAAAGUACAAUUAACAGUAGAUCAAGGAGAACAAUGAGUAAUUGAAUUGAUACAAAUAUAUGGAAAAGUAUGAAUGGCUUUAUGGGAUGGAUUGUUGUUUCUAAAUCUAUCCAUUCCCCACACGAGCUGCUCCAGUGGCUCAGCAUGUUCAUGAUGAUACUGCUGAUAUAUCUUAUAUAAAUGUUAUACUAAAUGUAGAUGCUCAGUAAAUAUGAUUGUUUUGCUGUAAGAGAUUCUAGGCUAGGGCCAGGGCUUUGGUUAUACACGAAAGUGUGAACUCAUCAGGCUUCAGUUGCUCAGAUGCUAUACAUUCUAAAGAAAGAAAUGGCCCUUGAUCAGCUCCAGGAAGACAAUCUCUGAGUUUCUGGAAUAUUUUGCCUGGUAAAAGUAAUUUUUAAGCCUGAGUCCAUAGGCCUUCAUGUAUCGAUUUGAUGAGAUAAUUUAUUCUAAGAACAUUGUUACUGAAAAGGGGUCCCAAUCCAGACCUCAAGAGGGUUCUUGGAUCUUCCACAAAAAAGAAUUCGGGGUGAGUCCAUAAUGAAAGCAAGUUUAUUAAGAAAGUAAAGGGGCCAGGCGCGGUGGCUCACGCCUGUAAUCCUAGCACUUUGGGAGGCCGAGGAGGGUGGAUCACCUGAGGUCAGGAGUUUGAGACCAGCCAGGCCAUCAUGGCAAAACCCCAUCUCUACUAAAAACACAAAAAUUAGCCGGGCGUGGUGGCACAUGCCUGUAAUCCCAGCCACUCGAGAGGCUGAGGCAGGAGAAUCGCUUGAACCCGGGAAGCAGAGGUUGCAGUGAGCCAAGAUCAUGCCAUUACACUCCAGCCUGGGCAACAGAGCAAGACUCCGUCUCAAAAAAAAAAAAAAAAAAAAGGAAUACAAAAUGGCUACUCCAUAGGCAGAGCAGUAGUUUGGGCUGCUGGACUAAGGCUACUUAUAGUUAUUUAUUGAUUAUAUGCUAAAGGAGGGUUGGAUUAUUCACGAGUUUCCCAGGAAAGGGGUGAGCAGUUCUCAGAACUGAGGGUUCCUCUCCUUUUUAGACCAUAUAGGGUAACUUCCUGACAUUGCCAUGGCAUUUGUAAACUGUCAUGGUGCUGCUGAGAGUGACUUUUUGCAUGCUAAUGCAUAAUUGGGAUAUAAUGGGCAGUGAGGAUGACCUUGGUUUUGGCCGUCUUGGUUUUGGUGGGUUUUGGCCGUCUUGGUUUUGGCCGUCUUGGUUUUGGUGGGUUUUGGCCGUCUUGGUUUUGGCCGUCUUGGUUUUGGUGGGUUUUGGCCGUCUUGGUUUUGGCCGUCUUGGUUUUGGUGGGUUUUGGCCGUCUUGGUUUUGGCCAGCUUCUUUACCACAAGCUGUUUUAUCAGCAGGGUUUUUGUGAGCAGUGUCUUGCACCAAACUCCUGUCUCCUCCUGUGACUUAGAAUGCCUAACUUCCUGGGAAUGCAGCACAGGUCUCAGCCUCAUUUUGCCCAGCCCCUAUUCAAGACGGAUUUGCUGUGGUUCAAAUGCUUCUGACAAUAUUCCUCAUGGUGAAUGCUGGAUUUUGCAUGCCCGAGGCCCUGGGCCACACUGUAUGUUUGCUUUUUGCAAGGGCUGUAUGGCUAUGACUAGUUAUGUGGACCCUGCAUUCCUAUGUAAAUGACCCUCCAUAAAAACCCCAGAAAUGAAUGCUUGAGUGAACUUCCCUGGCUUGUAUUAUAAUACUGUGAACAUCUUGUCACACAUCUUUGCUGGGGGAAUUAAGUGUGUCCCUAUGUGACCGUAAUGGGAGAUAACACCCAGAGUUUUGUGCCUGCUUUCAUGUGGACUUCAUUCUAUGUGAUUUUUCCCUUUGGUGAUCCUGGUCUAUAUCCUUUUAUUGUAAUAAACUAUAACCAUAACAGCUUUUCUGAGUCUUGUGUGUACUUCUAGCAAAUCAUGAAGCCUGAGGUAAGUAACCUAAAAUAUCAAGAUGAUUAAGGCCAUUCAUCCACGUAUCCAUUUAGCAGAUAUCUGAAUAUCUACUACUGACUAGGAACUAUGUGCAUGGAACAAUUAGGAUAAAAUCCAUAUUAACAUCUGUGCUCUUUUGAAGCUGGAAAUCUAGUUGGUGAGACAGUCAGGAGUCAGUAAUCAAACCUAAAUAUAUAUGCAUGUGUAUGCACACACACACACAGAUAUUUAUGAAAGAAUGCUUAUGACGUAGCUGGGAUGAAGGAUAAAUAUUCACUACUGGACAAAGUGUGUGGUGGAAAAGCCCCAUGGCAGGUGGGAAAAGGAAACACAAAGUGAAAACAGAAAGGGCAUAAGUUAUGCAAGAUGAAAGGUAGUAAAUGAGGCACCUCCCAGACCAGAUAAAGCUCAGAUAAAGCCCAAAGGAUUGACCGUGUAAUGAUUUGGGAGUUGUUUUUAGAGAUGAGGUCUCACUUUGUUGCCCAGGCUGGUCUCAAAUACCUGGGCUCAAGCAAUCCUCCUACCUUGGCCUCCCAAAGUGCUGAGAUUACAGUUGUGAACUACCACACCUGGCCAUAUUUGGUUUUUAUCCCAAGAGUUGAAGCCAUAAAAAGUUUUCAGGAAACGUAGUGGGGGCAGAGGGAGGGCGAAGCAGAGCACUAUUAAAUCUGAGAUGGUUCUCUGGUUUCAGCUUAGAGAAUGGAUUGAAGAGAAAAUGUGGGUAAAAGGACACUAAUUGAGAUGAUAGAUGGUGAGUGGAUGGACUAGGAAGAGGUGGUAGAGAGAAGUGGACAUACUUGAGAGAUAUUUAAGAAUUAAAAAUGAUGGGGCCGGGGCAGUGGCUCACACCUGUAAUCCCAGCACUUUGGGAGGCCAAGGCAGGCAGAUCACAAGGUCAGGAGAUUGAGACCAUUCUGGCCAACGUGGUGAAACCCCGUCUCUACUAAAAAUACAAAAAUUAGCUGGGUGUGGUGGCAUGCACCUAUAAUCCCAGCUACUCAGGAGGCUGAGGCAGGAGAAUUGCUUGAACCCAGGAGGCGGAGGUUGCAGUGAGCCGAGUUCGCACCACUGCUCCAGCCUGGGGACAGAACGAGAUUCUGUGUUAAAAAAAAAACAAACAAAAAAACACAACUUUCUGAUUGUACAUGAAGGAGGAAGAGAUUGAGGUAACUAUGCUGAGUUGGAAAUUUCUAGCCAACGUAACUAAACAGUGCCAUGUAGUAAAGAGGGAAGACUGAAGUAGAUCAGAGUCAGGGAGAAGCAUUUUAUUGAUCUUAUUUACAUCAGGUGAAGAAUGAGGUAUCUUUGAAACAUCUAUGUGAAGAUAGCAAGAAGAUAACUGGUAAUUCAGGUCCAGAGCUGUAAGGAUUGCUCAAGACUGGGGUAUUCUAUUUUCAAUGCCUUUAAAGUAAGGGAGGUAACUGAAGCCAAGGGCACAGAUGAGGCUGGGGAGAGGCCAUACAAGGCAAAAGAGCCUUGGACAAAACCUUUAGGUAUUUCAACAUUGAGUGGGCAGCUAGAUAUGGAUGACUGCACAAAGAAGGGAGAGAGGGAGGGAACGAAUGAGGAAAAAGAUGUUACAGAGCCAAGGAAAGAGAACAUAUUUCACGAAUUGAGUAUUAGACACAAUAAAAUUCUACUGAUGGCCCAAGAAUGACAAGGACUUGUGAUUUAUAAGCACCAAGUCACUUCUGACCUUAGUCACAAUGUCGGAGAAGGUGGCAUUGUAGCAAGGAGUUCCACAAAGAGUAGAGGUUUGGGAAGUGGAGAGAAAUCAAGAAAGAGGUAAUGGAGAAGUGAAAAUAUUACACAAAAAAGGAAAACAUCCCUAAGAGGCUCCUCUAUUAAAGGAGGAGAGGGAGGAAAGGACAAAUAAUCAAGUUGGAGAAACCCAUACACACACAGGAAAGACCAGACUGGUGGUGACUGACACUCAAGCAGAAGUCAGUUAUGCAAAGAUAACUUAGAAAGUGUAAGUGACAAAAGAACAUGCAGAUGAAAAACAGGCUUGUAGGUGGCCAUGAUGACAUCGAAGGCAAAUGUCAGGAGGAAACUCAAGAUUGCAAAGAAAGUGACCACUGCUUAUGUGUGAUUCCAGGGAUCAACAAGAGACAGAGUGAGAAGGGACCACUUCAAACACGUGUCAUUUUACCCAAGAGCAGGGACAUGGAAUGGCACUGGGAAGGGCAAACAGGUAUGUUGAGAGGCUAUACAACUGCAAUGCCGUAGAUCAUAAGAAAAGAGAGUUAAUGCAGAUGCCUGAGAAUAUCAAGCAAACAAAUGGGCCGGGCGCGGUGGCUCACGCCUGUAAUCCCAGCACUUUGGGAGGCUGAGGUGGGCAGAUCACUUGAGGUCAGGAGUUUGAGACCAGCCUCGAUAUGGAGAAACCCCAUCUCUCCUAAAAAUACAAAAUUAGCCAGGCAUGGUGGUGCAUGCCUGUGAUCUCAGCUACUCGGGAGGCUGAGACAGAAUUGCUUGAACCUGGGAGGCAGAGGUUGCGGUGAGCCGAGAUUGCGCCAUUGCACUCCAGCCUGGGCAACAAGAGCAAAACUCCAUCUCAAAAAAAGAAAAAAGAAAAAAAAAAAAAAAAGAACAAAUGAUGUAGGUAGGACUGGGAAAUAAUAUACAGAAAGACAAACUUCAAACUUCAAACAGCUUGGAGAAAUGACAGAAUAAUGUUUGUAUAUCUGGGGCCCUCAAUUAGUUGUGCUUGGCCUUUUUCAGAAGUGUCCAACAAUGAGAAAGGCAUCUGGAACUAUUUUUCUAAAGUCUUGACUACUGACAUCACUGGGAUCCCACCAACACAGUGGUCCCUUGGAUGUCUGGUUCCUAGUAAUUCACCUAAACAGUCCCUCCUUGGCAUCAAUCCAUCCUCCAAUCCAUGGUUCUAUACCAUGUUGCCUGAUGUAGGUACCCAGUACUCUAGAAAUUACACGGAAAUGUAACUUCCAUGUAAUGGUUUGAGGUGGCAUUUUGAGAGGCCAAUUUUAUUAUUCAGGUAUGGUGAGGCCAACAGAUCAGGAGAUACUGCCAUUGAAGAGAUGCUUAGCUACACACACUUCCCAAGAAAGGGGCACACACCAGGCAGUGUAGGACCACAUGCGGAAGCAGCAGGAUCGGAAAAACAGCAGGAGCUGGGGGAAAGCAUGGGCAAGAACCUUCACUGUGCUUUUGCAGGUAAGAAUGGUCAAGACAAGGUAAGCAAGCUAAGCAGGGUUAGGCUUGGCUUUUUAAUUUUAUUUUAUUUUGAGACAGGCUCUCACUCUUGUCACCUAGGCUGGAGUACAGUGGUACCAUCAUAGCUCACUGCAGCCUCAACCUCCUGGGCUCAUUUAAUACUCCCACCUCAGCCUCCCAAGUAGCUGGGAGUACAGGCAUACACCACCAUGCCUAGCUAAUUAUUAUAUCUUUUUGUAGAGAUGGGGUCUCACUAUGUUGCCCAAGCUGGUCUCAAACUCCUGGACUCAAGUGAUCCUCCCACUUCAGCUUCCCAAAGUGCUGAGAUUACAGGCCUGAAUUUC